AUUUUUCAUUCUUUUAUUUAUUUAUUUUCGGACGCAUUCUUUGAAAAUUUUGGUGACUUUUUUUUGAUUUUUUUUGUAGCUUCAACCGUUCCUUGCUAAUAGUCGUCGGUGUUGAGGUGACCUAGAUUAACAUGCAUACUAGGUGAUUGCCACAAGCUCUUAAGUUUGAAGGGAUAUUGAAAUAUAGGAGAUGAGUUUGAAUUGUGUGUUAUAUGGAAGAAAAGGCUAAUGUUGGGUUGUCUAUAUAAUUUUGUUGGGAGGGCUUCUUUUUUG
rnacentral:lncRNA from 1 species